AAUUUCAAAUGCAUUUAUGAAAUUUCCCGACUGUAUGAUUACUUCUGAGAAAAAGAUAACGUCAGUGGAUUUUCCUGUGAAUCAAACGGGUUAUAAACCAUCGCUUAUUGCCGUGAUUUUGAGUUUAAAGUUUGGAGAAGAGGAGUAUAGUUAGGUAGAAGCUCCAGAACUGUUGAAGCUAUAACCAAGUGUUGUUAAUCGAGAGCUACCUAGUAGUGCUUCUGAAGCCAGUGAAAAGCACCAGAGCAUCAAAAACACUUAUUCCUGUCAUUUUCCACCGAUAAAUCUCAUGUGUGAGUAUAAUUGCUAACGUCUCUUUCUGGCCUUUCUCGUCUCAACACUCUUUUGUUGUUGUUGUUGUUGCAGGAUUAAUUUCUUUAAACAGGUUGGGGAUAUUUUUGAUGGGUGUCUUUAUUAUUACUACGGUAAGGAUGGCAAGUCCAGAGCGUAAUGGGUGGCCAUAUAAAGUUUGCAACUGAAGAAGCUGCAAAGAAGGCAGCAAAUCUUCGUGAAUACUUGUUGGGUCCCCGUAUUAAACUUUUCCCUUGACUGGAAGACCCCGGAGCAUCAAAAACACUUCUCAUGAAGGACCUACUAUUUUACACUGUUAGAUCUGAUGU